AGAGAGCUGAAUGUACCGAAGGAAUAAGGAUCGGCUAACUCCGUGCCAGCAGCCGCGGUAAUACGGAGGAUCCAAGCGUUAUCCGGAUUUAUUGGGUUUAAAGGGUGCGUAGGCGGCUUGUUAAGUCAGGGGUGAAAGACGGUGGCUCAACCAUCGCAGUGCCUUUGAUACUGAUGAGCUUGAAUGAACUAGAGGUAGGCGGAAUGUGACAAGUAGCGGUGAAAUGCAUAGAUAUGUCACAGAACACCGAUUGCGAAGGCAGCUUACUAUGGUUUUAUUGACGCUGAGGCACGAAAGCGUGGGGAUCAAACAGGAUUAGAUACCCUGGUAGUCCACGCCCUAAACGAUGAAUACUCGCUGUUAGCGAUACACAGUUAGCGGCUAAGCGAAAGCGUUAAGUAUUCCACCUGGGGAGUACGCCCGCAAGGGUGAAACUCAAAGGAAUUGACGGGGGCCCGCACAAGCGGAGGAGCAUGUGGUUUAAUUCGAUGAUACGCGAGGAACCUUACCCGGGCUUGAAAGUUAGUGAAUCAUUUAGAGAUAGAUGAGUGAGCAAUCACACGAAACUAGGUGCUGCAUGGCUGUCGUCAGCUCGUGCCGUGAGGUGUUGGGUUAAGUCCCGCAACGAGCGCAACCCCUAUGUUUAGUUGCCAGCACGUUAAGGUGGGGACUCUAAACAGACUGCCUGUGCAAACAGAGAGGAAGGAGGGGACGACGUCAAGUCAUCAUGGCCCUUACGUCCGGGGCUACACACGUGCUACAAUGGGUGGUACAGAGGGCAGCAAGCUGGUAACAGCAAGCAAAUCUCAAAAAGCCAUUCACAGUUCGGAUAGAGGUCUGCAACUCGACCUCUUGAAGUUGGAUUCGCUAGUAAUCGCGUAUCAGCAAUGACGCGGUGAAUACGUUCCCGGGCCUUGUACACACCGCCCGUCAAGCCAUGGAAGUUGGGGGUACCUAAAG
rnacentral:rRNA from 1 species